GCCUGCUUGGCUCAGUGGUUAGAGCGUUUCACUUGUACUUUCCUACGAAGCGCUUGGUAGAAAGUCAUGAAAAGGUCACUUGUUCAACUCAGGUAGUAGGCA